rnacentral:rRNA from 1 species
UACAACAUAGCGUUAAUGAAACAGAUCCCAUUAGAACUCUACAGUUAAGUGCGCUCGAGCCAGAGUACUACUGGGAUGGGUGAACACCCAAGAAUUCCUAGUGUUUUAC